rnacentral:rRNA from 1 species
UACGGGGGGGGGCAAGCGUUGUUCGGAAUUACUGGGCGUAAAGGGCUCGUAGGCGGCCAACUAAGUCAGACGUGAAAUCCCUCGGCUUAACCGGGGACUGCAUCUGAUACUGGAUGGCUUGAGUUCGGGAGAGGGAUGCGGAAUUCCAGGUGUAGCGGUGAAAUGCGUAGAUAUCGAGAGGAACACCUGCGGCGAAGGCGGGUUGCUGGGCUGAUACUGACGCUGAGGCGCGAAAGCCAGGGGAGCGAACGGG